rfam:Bovine herpesvirus 1 strain Cooper, complete genome.
CGCGGAGGGCAAGUGCCCGACGCGGGGAACGUGGCGGCGGACGCCAGCGCCGCGUCUCCGGCGCCGGGUCCUGGCCCUCCGCG